GACGAACGCUGGCGGCGUGCUUAACACAUGCAAGUCGAACGGAAAGGCCCUGCUUGUGGGGGGUGCUCGAGUGGCAAACGGGAGAGUAACGCGGGAGUAACCUGCCCUAGACUGGGGGAUGACUUCGAGAAACUGGGGCUAAUAGCGGAUGGGAACUCCUGCUGGAUGGUGGGGGUUGGAAAGUUUGGGCGGGUGGGGAUGGACGCGCGGCUUAUCAGCUUGUUGGUGGGGUAGUGGCUUACCAAGGCUUUGACGGGUAGCCGGCCUGAGAGGGUGACCGGCCACAUUGGGACUGAGAUACGGCCCAGACUCCUACGGGAGGCAGCAGUGGGGAAUAUUGCACAAUGGGCGGAAGCCUGAUGCAGCAACGCCGCGUGCGGGAUGACGGCCUUCGGGUUGUAAACCGCUUUCGCCUGUGACGAAGCGUGAGUGACGGUAAUGGGUAAAGAAGCACCGGCUAACUACGUG
rnacentral:rRNA from 1 species